rnacentral:rRNA from 1 species
AACGAACGCUGGCGGCAGGCUUAACACAUGCAAGUCGAACGCCCCGCAAGGGGAGUGGCAGCCGGGUGAGUAACGCGUGGGAACAUACCCUUUUCUACGGAAUAGCUCUGGGAAACUGGAAUUAAUACCGUAUACGCCCUACGGGGGAAAGAUUUAUCGGGGAAGGAUUGGCCCGCGUUGGAUUAGCUAGUUGGUGGGGUAAAGGCCUACCAAGGCGACGAUCCAUAGCUGGUCUGAGAGGAUGAUCAGCCACAUUGGGACUGAGACACGGCCCAAACUCCUACGGGAGGCGGCAGUGGGGAAUAUUGGACAAUGGGCGCAAGCCUGAUCCAGCCAUGCCGCGUGAGUGAUGAAGGCCUUAGGGUUGUAAAGCUCUUUCACCGAUGAAGAUAAUGACGGUAGUCGGAGAAGAAGCCCCGGCUAACUUCGUG